AAACAUCCUCUAUUUGUUUCCGCAGACAGCGUUUCCUUGCUGAGUGAAGGACAGAGAGAAGGGCUGCUGUACUAAAAAAACUCACUGUGAAACAGAACUAUUUGAUGCUUUGAAGCUUUGAAAUGCAUUUUUACAGAGAAGAAGGACUGUGGAUCUCUUUGUGGCCAAUAUGAACAAGAGGAAGAAUUAUGAAGAAAGAUUGUUUUAAUGUGCGCAUGGACAUGAUAAGGCUGUUUAGCAGAGAGUGAACGCUCUGGGAAUAAAGCUUGUGUUCAGGCCUUCAAAGUGCCUUAUACUCCCAUAAAAUCAACAAGGCCUUGCAACGCCCCAUUAAGAUUUAGUGACCCCUAGUUGGGACCAGGACUCACAGGUUGGGAAGCAGUGGUUUGAGGUAUCGGUACGGACAGUAUGUCUCUUGAGGAUUUCGAUCCACUGCAUGUCAGAGGAAAACAUUGCAUUUUUUACACCACUACAUAUUUGACAGCUUCAGUUGUUUCCAAAAUCAAGGUUUGAUGUGCAAAACAUACCAACAUCUUACAAAACAUGAUGCACUGUUAAAGAGUCAAAACAACCCAACAGUAUACAGAGCAGCCGAGCUGCAGUGGAGCUGCUGACAGGAGGACAAUAUGAUGGAAGAGACAACAAGAAGAGGAGAGCGAGCUGACAACAUCUGCACAUCAAUGACAAGCAUGACACCUCCACUCCAACAAUACAGUUAGAACAAUCACAGAAACCGAAGAGAGGAUAAACAUUAUGGGGAUGUGAUGAGGGUGGAUUUUGUUCAGAGGUAAAUAAAUGUUUGAUGAAGUAGGGAUGGGCGGAUUGAUCCCCAAGGUAUCAAAAGUACAGAUGCUGGAGUUGUAUUCUUGAGUAUCAAACCAGAGCCAACACAAAAGCUCUUUCUCAAUGUCAUGAUGUAAUGUUGACUUUUACAUUACAAAGCUGCAAAAAUAUUCAGCAAAUGUUUCACUUGCAGUGUUUUCUGACAAAUAACGUCCAUAUACAAACAAAGAUGAAUGCUGUAGCUUAUGUUGAUGGAAGGUACAGGUAUCAAUAACAGUCAUCUGAUGCUCUGUAUUAUUUGGAAGAAGAUCAAAAACUAAACUUAUCGCCCAUCCCUGCCAUGCAGAGUCACAACACGGACAUGACAUGUGUUAGUACCUCUCUCGAUGUAGCGGGAACAUUUUACAGCUCGCAGGCAACUCCUCUGCAGCAGAACAAGGGGAAAGAGGAUCCAAGUUACACAGUGAAAAAAAAAAAAAACUGACCAGUGAAACUUGUCAGUGAUUAUUAUCAGACAUCCCAAUACAGAGAAUACAGUGCAGCUACACAGGGCAUUACCUCAAGUAGGAUGAGGUUGGAAACUAUAAUCCAACUUAGGUCAAAUAUGCUGAACAAUUAAAUGAUCCAGUCAGAGAAAAAAAAACUUGAAUCACAGCAAUGUUUGACAGAUUUCAAAAUAAAGUAACUAUAUAAAUAUUGUAAAUAGUAAAAACAUAACACUAACCAAUUAAUACACUCUGAUUAAACAAUGUUAACUUAAAAUGGUGCUUUAAAAUACUAGUCACACUAAUAGUCGGCUCAAAUGUGACCAAGAAAUGCAGAUUUUUUCGUGCAAAAUUUUAAGACACCUCUGGUGAUCAGUUGUGUUCUUUAUUUAUUUAAUGGUGCAUUCAGGAACUGACAAGAAAUUGUGAUGUGGCCAUUUUGUGUUACCAUGUAUUUGCCUUUGUGUGGUUAAUCAGUUUCUGAUGAAUAUAUCCUUCAACUGGAAGAGUGGAAAAGCUACAGCAGGUGUUAAAUGGAAGCCAGACUUAAACUAUGCUUUGUUUAGAUCUCAAUUAUGUUGAGACUUUCUCUCCAUCAAAUGACAUAUUUCAUUUGUACAGGGACCUACUUGGUUUAGAUUACAUAGAUAAGUACUUUAAGGCAAGCUGCACACAGCAUGAGAGCACUUGUGAACCCACUACUCAUUUUGUUUAUGGACCUGAAGUGGCUGUUAAUCGAGACUCUCCUGCUCCAGGCGCUCACUUCUGUCAAGAAGGCAGAAGAGCUGCAGGCUGCCUCUGUCUAUCAAAAGGUCCUUCAUGACACCGAGUGAUCUGUGUCUCUCACAGUAUAAAUGCAUCAAACCCAAGGCAUCAGAUCAGAUGUUUGUUUCAAAGCCCCACUGGGCUGCAGAUGUUUUACAGCAGGUCUCCGUGGGUGCUAAUGUGCCACUGAUAUCACUUGAAAAGAGGGCACAGUCAACCUGAAACUUUCCACUGUCAGGCUGUAUAAUAGAGAUAUUGUAUGUGCAGAUACCACUUUGUCUUUCCCAUCCUCAUUUACACAUCCACUUACAUGUUGAGUACAUGGCUGGGUAUACUAGAUGUGGGGUGGAAGGUUGAGUUAGAGAUUGCUCAGAGCGUGUGUUGGGUCCUGAGUGUCACCUUGCAGAUAAUUCAGUCACUGUACAUUUGUGAUAUGGAACAAGACUGGGAGAUAGUUUCUCCACUCAGGGAAUCAUGGUUACAUUUUAUAACUUUAUGUUGUGUGACUGCACUUCCCAAUGAGCUGGUACUUGUGCUGUAAACUCCACAGUUGACUUUACUACAAGUAAAAGGACCACCAGAAUGCAGUUCCUCAGUUUGUGUGUGUCUCCUUUGAGGAGGAGGUGCAGGUUCAGCCUGGUCUUAAGGACAUUUGUAGGACACACUUGCAUGUCUUCUGAGGGAUUCAGUGACAUCACUGGGCAGUUCAGUACAGUACUGGUCUGUAGAAUUUGGAUAUCCCCCCAUAGAGACUCAUUUAAGCUGUAAAUAAACAGACUAUGUAUGCAUUAACACCUUCUAAAAGUGAUGUGUCCAUUAUGACAUAUAAAUUGGGCUGCAGUGUAAAUUUCUUUUCAUUGUCUCUUUAAAAGAGGAAUAUGAGCAAAACUGCUGUAAAUAAAGUGUAUAGUGUAAUAAUGGGCUUCCAAAAAUAUAUC